GAUCAUGGCUCAGGAUGAACGCUAGCGGCAGGCUUAAUACAUGCAAGUCAAGGGGGUAGCAAUACAACCGGCGCACGGGUGAGUAACGCGUACACAACAUGCCAUAUACUGGGGUAUAGCUUUGGGAAACUGAAGGUAAUCCCCCAUAACAUUGCGAGAGGGCAUCUGAUUGCAAUUAAAGUUUCGGCGGUAUAUGAUUGGUGUGCGUUUGAUUAGCUAGUUGGUAGGGUAACGGCCUACCAAGGCGACGAUCAAUAGCUGGCGUGAGAGCGCGACCAGCCACACUGGAACUGAGACACGGUCCAGACUCCUACGGGAGGCAGCAGUAGGGAAUAUUGGACAAUGGAGGAAACUCUGAUCCAGCCAUGCCGCGUGAUAGAUGAAGGCCUCUGGGUUGUAAAUAUCUUUUAUCUGGGAAGAAACUCCUCUACUCUUAGAGGCCUGACGGUACCAGAGGAAUAAGCACCGGCUAACUCCGUG
rnacentral:rRNA from 1 species